AACGCACAUUGCGCCCCUUGGUAUUCCGGGGGGCAUGCCUGUUCGAGCGUCAUUACACCACUCAAGCCUGGCUUGGUAUUGGGCGGCGGGGUCCCCCCCGGCGCCUCCAUGUGACUCGGCUGGACGGUUGGAAUCUCAGCGUUGUGAAUCAAUUCGCUCCUGACGACGACCGCCCGCGCCGUUAAACCUUUUCAUUCGGGUUGACCUCGGAUCAGGUAGGGAUACCCGCUGAACUUAA
rnacentral:misc_RNA from 1 species